CUUGAACGCUGGCGGCAUGCCUUACACAUGCAAGUCGAACAGUAACAGGUCUUCGGAUGCUGACGAGUGGCGAAAGGGUGAGUAAUCAAUCGGAACGUGCCUAGUAGUGUGGGAUAACUACUGGAAAGAGUGGCUAAUACAGCAUGAGAUCUACGGAUGAAAGCAGGGGAUAGCAAGACCUUGUGCUACUAGAGCGGCCGAGGGUAGGUUAGGUAGUAGGUGGGAUAAAGGCUUACCAAGCUGACGAUCUGUAGCUGGGCGGAGAGGACGAUCAGCCACACUGGGACUGAGACACGGCCCAGACUCCUACGGGAGGGAGCAGUGGGGAAUUUUGGACAAUUGGCGCAAGCCUGAUCCAGCAAUGCCGCGUGCAGGAUGAGGGCCUUCGGGUUGUAAACUGCUUUUGUACGGAACGAAAAGCCCUGGGUUAAUACCCUGGGGUCAUGACGGUACCGUAAGAAUAAGCACCGGCUAACUACGUGCCAGCCGCCGCCGUAA
rnacentral:rRNA from 1 species